GUUUCUAUAGUUGAAUUACAACGAUGAUUUUUCAUAUCAUUGGUCAUAGUUAGAGUCUAUGUAGGAAUU
rnacentral:tRNA from 1 species